rnacentral:sRNA from 1 species
CUUGGUCAUUUAGAGGAAGUAAAAGUCGUAACAAGGUUUCCGUAGGUGAACCUGCGGAAGGAUCAUUAUUGAUUGGUCGAAAGACCUUAUCAGAUUCUACCACCUCUGUGAACCGUUGACCUCCGGGUUAAUAAUCAAACAUCAGUGUAACGAACGUAAGAGUAUCUUAAUUAAACAAAACUUUUAACAACGGAUCUCUUGGCUCUCGCAUCGAUGAAGAACGCAGCGAAAUGCGAUAAGUAAUGUGAAUUGCAGAAUUCAGUGAAUCAUCGAAUCUUUGAACGCACCUUGCGCCUUUUGGUAUUCCGAAAGGCAUGCCUGUUUCAGUGUCAUGAAAUCUCAAUCUAAUAUGUUUUCUGAACAUGUUAGGCUUGGACUUGGGUGUCUGCCAGCAAUGGCUCACCUCAAAUGACUUAGUGGAACAUCCCACAUCAGUGUUAGACGUAAUAAGUUUCGUCUCUCCUUGUGGUGAUGACUGCUCAAAACCUGCCAUCGCGCACCUUUUGACUUUGACCUGAAAUCAGGUAGGGCUACCCGCUGAACUUAAGCAUAUCAAUAAGCGGAGGAAAAGAAACUAACAAGGAUUCCCCUAGUAACGGCGAGUGAACCGGGAAGAGCUCAAAUUUGAAAUCUGGCGUGCUCAGUGCGUCCGAGUUGUAAUCUAUAGAGUCGUUUUCCGUGCCGGACUGUGUCCAAGUCCCUUGGAACAGGGUAUCAAAGAGGGUGAUAAUCCCGUACUUGACACAAUGACCGGUGCUCUGUGAUACGUCUUCUACGAGUCGAGUUGUUUGGGAAU